rnacentral:rRNA from 15 species
GACUGCCGGUGACAAACCGGAGGAAGGUGGGGAUGACGUCAAGUCAUCAUGCCCCUUAUGUCCAGGGCUUCACGCAUGCUACAAUGGCUGGUACAGAGAGAGGCGAACCCGUGAGGGUAAGCGAAUCCCUUAAAGCCAGUCUCAGUUCGGAUCGUAGUCUGCAAUUCGACUACGUGAAGUCGGAGUCGCUAGUAAUCGCAGAUCAGCAAUGCUGCGGUGAAUACGUUCCCGGGCCUUGUACACACCGCCCGUCACACCACGAGAGUUUGUAACACCCGAAGCCGGUGGAGUAACCUUUUA